GAUGAACGCUGGCGGCGUGCUUAACACAUGCAAGUCGAACGAAGCAUUUAGGACAGAUUACUUCGGUUUGAAGUUCUUUAUGACUGAGUGGCGGACGGGUGAGUAACGCGUGGGUAACCUGCCUUGUACUGGGGGAUAGCAGCUGGAAACGGCUGGUAAUACCGCAUAAGCGCACAAUGUUGCAUGACAUGGUGUGAAAAACUCCGGUGGUAUAAGAUGGACCCGCGUCUGAUUAGCUAGUUGGUGAGAUAACAGCCCACCAAGGCGACGAUCAGUAGCCGACCUGAGAGGGUGACCGGCCACAUUGGGACUGAGACACGGCCCAGACUCCUACGGGAGGCAGCAGUGGGGAAUAUUGCACAAUGGAGGAAACUCUGAUGCAGCGACGCCGCGUGAGUGAAGAAGUAAUUCGUUAUGUAAAGCUCUAUCAGCAGGGAAGAUAGUGACGGUACCUGACUAAGAAGCUCCGGCUAAAUACGUGC
rnacentral:rRNA from 1 species